AACUUUCAAUUAGAAAGGAUUUUUGCGUCGCUUUAGAAACCGACUUAAACCGAUAGUUGUUUUGCGUCAUUUAUAAGUUUUCGAUUACACGCCGACAAAAAAAAAAAAAAAAUUUCGAUUACACUUCUGAUCUCUUCCAUUUAUGAGUUCUUAGCUUCUCGUCGCUGUGGAGUUCCGAUCUCUUUUCUGAUCCAAGCUCAGAGGCGUAGAAGCAUAUCUUAACCGAUGAUCUGUGUAACGGAUUGAGACAAACGAGCAUCCUAACUCAUCGAAUCCACCAAAUCAGUGUUUUUGGGUGAGAAGCAACAUGAUAUCCUGAGUUUGUCACAGAAUCUCAUCAACAGAUGUUGUCAUCCCUUAUUGGAAGUAAAGCACAUGAAUCAAUGAUGUACAGUUACCAACAUGGCUUCCAGGCUUUGCUUACCGAGUCACAAUUCAAGAAAACUGCUGAGUGGGCACUUUUGGUAUGGAGAGAAAAGACAAAUUGUUCAACCCUCUUUGUCCAAGAUUUCUCUAGCUCCAAGAAUCUAAGGGGCUUUUACACACACUUCUCUGCUCAUUGCUGAAAGGAUGUAUAUUCUACAGGAGGACCUUUUGAAAGUUUUGAAGAUAUUUACGAGCAAAAGAAAAGGCUUUGAAGAUUAUAGAUAAAAAUUGUGGAUAAUAUUUUUACUUAAGAAACAUUUAGACGUUUUUGUGUAAAAUUUAUACGUUUGAUUAAUAGAAAUUUAAU